rnacentral:siRNA from 1 species
UCCUUUUGAGACACUUGUCAGGGA